GACGAACGCUGGCGGCGUGCUUAACACAUGCAAGUCGAGCGGUAAGGCCCUUUCGGGGGUACACGAGCGGCGAACGGGUGAGUAACACGUGGGUGACCUGCCCUCAGCUCUGGGAUAAGCCUGGGAAACCGGGUCUAAUACUGGAUAUGACUCCAUGACGCAUGUUGUGGGGUGAAAGCCUUGUGCGGCUGAGGAUGGGCCCGCGGCCUAUCAGCUUGUUGGUGGGGUGANGGCCUACCAAGGCGACGACGGGUAGCCGGCCUGAGAGGGCGACCGGCCACACUGGGACUGAGACACGGCCCAGACUCCUACGGGAGGCAGGCAGUGGGGAAUCUUGCGCAAUGGGCGAAAGCCUGACGCAGCGACG
rnacentral:rRNA from 1 species